CCUACGGGAGACUGCAGUGAGGAAUAUUGGUCAAUGGACGCAAGUCUGAACCAGCCAUGUCGCGUGCAGGAAGACGGCUCUAUGAGUUGUAAACUUCUUUUGUACGAGGGUAAACGCAUAUACGUGUCUCUGUUUGCAUGUAUCGUAUGAAUAAGGAUCGGCUAACUCCGUGCCAGCAGCCGCGGUAAUACGGAGGAUUCAAGCGUUAUCCGGAUUUAUUGGGUUUAAAGGGUGCGUAGGUGGUAGGAUAAGUUAGCGGUGAAAUCCCGAGGCUCAACUUCGGAAUUGCCGUUGAAACUGUUAGGCUUGAGAGUAGUUGAGGUAGGCGGAAUGUAGGGUGUAGCGGUGAAAUGCUUAGAGAUCAUGCAGAACACCGAUUGCGAAGGCAGCUUACCAAGCUACAACUGACGCUGAGGCACGAAAGCGUGGGGAGCAAACAGGAUUAGAUACCCCAGUAGUC
rnacentral:rRNA from 1 species